AUCUAUAACCAUAUCACCUUGAAUUGGCCUGAUCUUGUCUGAUCUCAGAAGCUAAGGAUGGUUGGCCCUGGUUAGUAUUCGGAUAGGAGACACCAUGGGAAUGCCAGGUGCUAUUUUGG
rnacentral:rRNA from 1 species